GACGAACGCUGGCGGCGUGCCUAAUACAUGCAAGUAGAACGCACAGUUUAUACCGUAGCUUGCUACACCAUAGACUGUGAGUUGCGAACGGGUGAGUAACGCGUAGGUAACCUGCCUGGUAGCGGGGGAUAACUAUUGGAAACGAUAGCUAAUACCGCAUAAUAUUAAUUAUUGCAUGAUAAUUGAUUGAAAGAUGCAACUGCAUCACUACCAGAUGGACCUGCGUUGUAUUAGCUAGUAGGUGAGGUAACGGCUCACCUAGGCGACGAUACAUAGCCGACCUGAGAGGGUGAUCGGCCACACUGGGACUGAGACACGGCCCAGACUCCUACGGGAGGCAGCAGUAGGGAAUCUUCGGCAAUGGACGAAAGUCUGACCGAGCAACGCCGCGUGAGUGAAGAAGGUUUUCGGACCGUAAAGCUCUGUUGUAAGAGAAGAACGGGUGUGAGAGUGGAAAGUUCACACUGUGACGGUAUCUUACCAGAAAGGGACGGCUAACUACGUG
rnacentral:rRNA from 1 species